CUGUCAGAAUAUCGCUGUUUUCUUGUAGUGUUCCGUUUUGUGUUUCUAUUUUGUGCCCGUGGUGGUUACGUACCUAGACGAUGAGAAGACCCAACAAUAAAACGGAGCCACCGUCUCAAACCACCAGUCUAUGCCGUGUGAUCCUUUUAGUAACAGGAGAGCCUUGCCGUGUCACAAGAGAUCUAGACCUUUGAACAAUGUCUAUUCCAAGAAGGUUAAUUGUAUCAUUAGUUGUUUCUUGUGUUUACAAGAAAUAUAUUCAACGUACAAUUUUAUCAUGACUUUAUCAUGGCAUGCGUAGGAACCAAGCAUGGAUCUUAUGGUUGACUUGUUUGCCAAGUCAUUCUCCUUAAAACCUAGAUGUUUGACGAGCCAUUUCAGUUCAAGCAUUUCCGAGCAUUUUCCGAUUCGAUCUUGGCUAAGGUGAGACAGAUGAGUAUAUGAUAUUUGGACGGAUUGGUGCUACUGGACUUUUUAUUCGGAUUUUUAUUUCCGCUUUGGGUGAGUGUAAUUGGGUAUAUGGACUUUUAUUAUACGAGAUAUUGUUGGUGGCCCGCUGUUCUCCGGAUUGGAGGUAACGUGUGUCACAGCCGUGUUCAUGAAAGCUUCUGGGACAGAGGCAUUGCCCAAAACUAUGUCUAUUGUCUAAGAAAAAGGAAAGACAACAAAACUAAAAGGAUAAGAGUUACAAGCUACGAAUAGUAAUAAAACUCUAUCUGUGUUUCAUGC